GGUGAUGAUGGCAGAGAGGUCACACCCGUUCCCAUACCGAACACGGAAGUUAAGCUCUCUAGCGCCGAUGGUAGUUGGGACCUUGUCCCUGUGAGAGUAGGACGUUGCCAAGC
rnacentral:rRNA from 2 species